rnacentral:rRNA from 1 species
CAAUAGCGUAUACUAAUGUUGUUGCAGUUAAAAAGCUCAUAGUUGAACUUCUGGUAGGAGUGUCCCGGCCUUUUUGUUUUUACAAAUUGUAUGCUGUGUGACAUCUCUGGCCAUCCUUCUUCUUUGUUUAAAGAAGAUCUUUCACUGUAAAAAAAUUAGGGUGUUCAAAGCAAAAGUUUCUUUGGAAUAUAUUAGUAUGGGAUGAUAAGAUAGGCUCUAGAUGCUAUUUUGUUGGUUUGCACAUUUAGAGAAUGAUUAACAGGGACAGUUGGGGGUAUUCGUAUUUACAUGUCAGAGGUGAAAUUCUUGGAUUUUGGAAAGACGAACUACUGCGAAAGCAUUUACCAAGGAUGUUUUCAUUAA